GAUGAAGAACGUAGCGAAAUGCGAUAAGUAAUGUGAAUUGCAGAAUUCAGUGAAUCAUCGAGUCUUUGAACGCACAUUGCGCCCGCCAGUAUUCUGGCGGGCAUGCCUGUUCGAGCGUCAUUACAACCCUCAGGCCCCCGGGCCUGGCGUUGGGGAUCGGCGGAGCCCCCCGUGGGCACACGCCGUCCCCCAAAUACAGUGGCGGUCCCGCCGCAGCUUCCAUCGCGUAGUAGCUAACACCUCGCGACUGGAGAGCGGCGCGGCCACGCCGUAAAACACCCAACUCUUCUGAAGUUGACCUCGAAUCAGGUAGGAAUACCCGCUGAACUUAAGCAUAUCAAUAAGCGGAGGA
rnacentral:misc_RNA from 1 species